AUGCUCGCUUUGUCAGCACAUAUACUAAAAUUGGAAUGAUAUACAGAAUAUUAGCAUGGCCCCUGUGCAAGAAUGACAUGCAAAUUUGUGAAGCGUUCAAUAUUUUU